AUUGAACGCUGGCGGCAGGCCUAACACAUGCCAGUCGAACGGUAACAGGAAACAGCUUGCUGUUUCGCUGACGAGUGGCGGACGGGUGAGUAAUGUCUGGGAAACUGCCUGAUGGAGGGGGAUAACUACUGGAAACGGUAGCUAAUACCGCAUAACGUCGCAAGACCAAAGAGGGGGACCCUCGGGCCCCUUGCCAUCGGAUGUGCCCAGAUGGGAUUAGCUUGUUGGUGGGGUAACGGCUCACCAAGGCGACGAUCCCUAGCUGGUCUGAGAGGAUGACCAGCCACACUGGAACUGAGACACGGUCCAGACUCCUACGGGAGGCAGCAGUGGGGAAUAUUGCACAAUGGGCGCAAGCCUGAUGCAGCCAUGCCGCGUGUAUGAAGAAGGCCUUCGGGUUGUAAAGUACUUUCAGCGGGGAGGAAGGGAGUAAAGUUAAUACCUUUGCUCAUUGACGUUACCCGCAGAAGAAGCACCGGCUAACUCCGUG
rnacentral:rRNA from 1 species